CCUACGGGAGGCAGCAGUAGGGAAUAUUGCUCAAUGGGGGAAACCCUGACGCAGCAACGCCGCGUGGAGGAUGAAGGUUUUCGGAUUGUAAACUCCUUUUGUUAGAGAAGAUAAUGACGGUAUCUAACGAAUAAGCACCGGCUAACUCCGUCCCAGCAGCCGCGGUAAUACGGGGGGUGCAAGCGUUACUCGGAAUCACUGGGCGUAAAGAGCGCGUAGGCGGGAUAGCAAGUCAGAUGUGAAAUCCUAGGGCUGAACCAUAGAACUGCAUUUGAAACUGGUAUUCUAGAGUAUGGGAGAGGUAGGUGGAAUUCUUGGUGUAGGGGUAAAAUCCGUAGAGAUCAAGAGGAAUACUCAUUGCGAAGGCGACCUGCUAGAACAUAACUGACGCUGAUGCGCGAAAGCGUGGGGAGCAAACAGGAUUAGAUACCCGGGUAGUC
rnacentral:rRNA from 1 species